rnacentral:rRNA from 1 species
AUUGAACGCUAGCGGGAUGCUUUACACAUGCAAGUCGAACGAGUGGCGGACGGGUGAGUAAUAUAUCGGAACGUGCCCAGUAGCGGGGGAUAACUACUCGAAAGAGUGGCUAAUACCGCAUACUAUUGAAGCGGCCGAUAUCGGAUUAGCUAGUUGGUGGGGUAAAGGCUAACCAAGGCAACGAUCCGUAGCUGGUUUGACAGGAAGACCAGCCACACUGGGCAUGAGGCACGGCCCAGACUCCUCCGGGAGGCAGCAGUGGGGAAUUUUGAACAAGGGGGGAAACCCUGAUCCAGCCAGCCCGCGGGUAUGAGAAGGCCUUCGGGUUGUAAAGUGCUUUUGGCAGAGAAGCGGUAUCUGCAGAAUAAGCACCGGCUAACUACGUGCCAGCAGCCGCGGUAAUUC